rnacentral:rRNA from 1 species
GAUGAACGCUGGCGGCGUGCCUAAUACAUGCAAGUCGAGCGAACAGACGAGGAGCUUGCUCCUUUGACGUUAGCGGCGGACGGGUGAGUAACACGUGGAUAACCUACCUAUAAGACUGGGAUAACUUCGGGAAACCGGAGCUAAUACCGGAUAACAUGUUGAACCGCAUGGUUCAACAGUGAAAGACGGUCUUGCUGUCACUUAUAGAUGGAUCCGCGCCGCAUUAGCUAGUUGGUAAGGUAACGGCUUACCAAGGCGACGAUGCGUAGCCGACCUGAGAGGGUGAUCGGCCACACUGGAACUGAGACACGGUCCAGACUCCUACGGGAGGCAGCAGUAGGGAAUCUUCCGCAAUGGGCGAAAGCCUGACGGAGCAACGCCGCGUGAGUGAAGAAGGUCUUCGGAUCGUAAAACUCUGUUAUUAGGGAAGAACAAAUGUGUAAGUAACUAUGCACGUCUUGACGGUACCUAAUCAGAAAGCCACGGCUAACUACGUG